GGGAGCACAGGAGCAUGCAUUUGCCUUUGUGAUAUCCAUGCGAGGGGAAGUGCUGGGAAAACCCCAUGAGCGGAGGAGCAGGUAUAUUCUUCCAGGGCCAGAAGGGAAGCGCACGUUUCAUCUGAGCUGGCACAGAGCUGGAGAAAGCUGCUUCACUGCUGCAACACUGGGCUGCCCACUGUUUGGUCCUGCUACCUCCCAUUGCACCCGUUGCUUAGUGAGACAACUGCAUGAUGAGCUGCUACCAGCACUUUCAAAGCACUUCCUCGUGGAUUUAAUCAGUCCCUAAGAUGUCAACAAGAUAAUCAGUUUGGCCAUCCAAAAUGGAAAGGGGAAGAAAAGAAAGGUUUGACAUGCAGUGGCAGACAUGUAAAAAUGACUACAUGCCUUCCCGAGACAAAGGCACCUCACCCCUGCAGCUCUGGCAUCCCCGACACUAUUGGAACGGUGCUGGCAGCGCUAGCUCUGACUCGGACACCCGGCCCUAGCUGGGGAAUGGGGUCCCCUCCCUCUGCCCCGUGCCAGGGGAUGUGUCCCGUUGCAGCCAGACCCUGCCCAGAGCGUGGCACCGCACCGCUCAGCCAGCAAGGUGCAGCCCAGGAAGCCUGGGGAUCAGCAGCUUGCAUCAAUGCUUGCAUCUCCUGGUGGCCUGCAGACAGAGAACGGCUCCAAGCAGGAAGGAUGCGAGCAGAAAAGCAUCUUUGAAGACAAAGAUGGCUUCAGUCCUCUUCAAAUCAAGGACCACAGCCUGGGCCUAAUUGUAAGAGCUACACUCAUUUAAAGACAGGGCAUGGAGAACACAGGGGUGGGGAAAAGCGCAAAAGCUUCAGCAGAUGAGGAAGAGCGAUUUCUUCUUCUGUGUUUUCCCUUGCUGAAACUGCUCAAGAUGUAUUACCAUGGCUACCCACCUGGGAAGGCAACACUUCUCCAGUUACGUUAUGGCAGCAGAAGGCUCCCCAGGAAAGGCUUCCUUCAGGUGAGGAGAUGCCAGUGACUAUUUCCACCACAAGCCCUCCUCCUCCCACGGUGCCCAUGCCCUCUGUGCUGGCCCUGGCCCCUCCAAAAUCUUCUGCAGGCCUGGGGCUGCCCCACGGAACCAGCCACAUGUACUCUGCUCUGCUCCAUGGGAGCCGCUCUGCACAGCACAGAC
ensembl:lncRNA